AGUUUGAUCCUGGCUCGAAUGAACGCUGGCGGCAGGCCUAACACAUGCAAGUCGAACGGAGUUAUAUUGUAGCUUGCUAUGGUAUAACUUAGUGGCAGACGGGUGAGUAAUGUAUAGGAAUCUACCUAGUAGUACGGAAUAAUUGUUGGAAACGGCAACUAAUACCGUAUACGCCCUACGGGGGAAAAAUUUAUUGCUAUUAGAUGAGCCUAUAUUAGAUUAGCUAGUUGGUGGAGUAAUAGCCUACCAAGGCAAUGAUCUAUAGCUGAUCUGAGAGGAUGAUCAGCCACACUGGAACUGAGAUACGGUCCAGACUCCUACGGGAGGCAGCAGUGGGGAAUAUUGGACAAUGGGCGAAAGCCUGAUCCAGCCAUGCCGCAUGAGUGAAGAAGGCCUUUGGGUUGUAAAGCUCUUUUAGUGAGGAAGAUAAUGACGGUACUCACAGAAGAAGUCCUGGCUAACUCCGUGCCAGCAGCCGCGGUAAUACGGAGAGGGCUAGCGUUAUUCGGAAUUAUUGGGCGUAAAGGGCGCGUAGGCGGAUUAGUAAGUUAAAAGUGAAAUCCCAAGGCUCAACCUUGGAAUUGCUUUUAAAACUGCUAAUCUAGAGAUUGAAAGAGGAUAGAGGAAUUCCUAGUGUAGAGGUGAAAUUCGUAAAUAUUAGGAGGAACACCAGUGGCGAAGGCGUCUAUCUGGUUCAAAUCUGACGCUGAGGCGCGAAGGCGUGGGGAGCAAACAGGAUUAGAUACCCUGGUAGUCCACGCUGUAAACGAUGAAUGUUAAAUAUGGGAAGUUUUACUUUCUGUAUUACAGCUAACGCGUUAAACAUUCCGCCUGGGGACUACGGUCGCCAGAUUAAAACUCAAA
rnacentral:rRNA from 1 species